AAAAGCAGCCAUGUCACCCUGCAGCCCAAGACUGCUUGCCCACUGAAGUUAAGCAGGGUUGAGCCUGGUCAGUAGCUGGAUGGGAGACCUCCUGGGAAAACUAGGUUGCUGUUGGAA
rnacentral:rRNA from 1 species